rnacentral:rRNA from 1 species
UCUGUGAACUCCUACGGGAGGCAGCAGUAGGGAAUCUUCCGCAAUGGGCGAAAGCCUGACGGAGCAACGCCGCGUGAGUUAAGAAGGAUUUCGGUUCGUAAACCUCUGUUGUUAGGGAAGAAUGAUUGUGUAGUAACUAUACACAGUAGAGACGGUACCUAACCAGAAAGCCACGGCUAACUACGUGCCAGCAGCCGCGGUAAUACGUAGGUGGCAAGCGUUGUCCGGAAUUAUUGGGCGUAAAGCGCGCGCAGGUGGUUUAAUAAGUCUGAUGUGAAAGCCCACGGCUCAACCGUGGAGGGUCAUUGGAAACUGUUAAACUUGAGUGCAGGAGAGAAAAGUGGAAUUCCUAGUGUAGCGGUGAAAUGCGUAGAGAUUAGGAGGAACACCAGUGGCGAAGGCGGCUUUUUGGCCUGUAACUGACACUGAGGCGCGAAAGCGUGGGGAGCAAACAGGAUUAGAAACCCGAGUAGUCCAUCAGCG